UCUAAUGCUUCUUAGGUGCAACUUUUCUCUCAAGGUACUUACACUCUGUUGAGUAUGCACACUGACAUUACACACCCUUCAGGUCAUACUGGCUUCAUUCCGUGCGAGCUUACGUAUGUCAUCGGCAGUCACAGCCCAUGUUUCACUGCCAUAUACAUUAAAAUAUU
rnacentral:lncRNA from 1 species